UACGGGGGGGGCAAGCGUUGUUCGGAAUUACUGGGCGUAAAGGGCUCGUAGGCGGCCAACUAAGUCAGACGUGAAAUCCCUCGGCUUAACCGGGGAACUGCGUCUGAUACUGGAUGGCUUGAGGUUGGGAGAGGGAUGCGGAAUUCCAGGUGUAGAGGUGAAAUUCGUAGAUAUUCGGAAGAACACCAGUGGCGAAGGCGGCUCACUGGCCCGGUACUGACGCUGAGGUGCGAAAGCGUGGGGAGCAAACAGG
rnacentral:rRNA from 1 species